GGAUUAGAUACCCUAUUAUUUUGGACGUUAAGUGUAAAUUAGCUUGAGUAGUAGUAGAUAUGGUCUUGAAACUUAAAGAAUAUGGCGGUACUUUAGUCUAUUUAGAGGAAUCUGUUUUUUUAUCGAUAAUCCGCGUUGAAUCUUACUUAAAUUAAUUAGUUUGUAUACCGCUAUUUUAUUAAUCUUUAGAGAGUUAAUUUUAUUAAUUUAUUUGUUGUUAUUUUAAGUCAAGGUGCAGCUUAUAUUUGAGUUUAAAUGGAUUACAUUGAUUUUAUUAAUUGGAUUAUUAAUUGUAAUAUUAAUAUGAAAUUGGAUUUAAUAGUAAUUUUAUGAAGAUUGUUAUUAUGAUUUUGGCUCUAAAGUAUGUACAUAUCGCCCGUCACUCUCGUUAUUUUAAGGUGAGAUAAGUC
rnacentral:rRNA from 1 species